AUGGUGUGCUUGUCUGAUGGACAGGGCAGCUUAGGGGAAUAAGUCUCUGCAGCGUUGUAGUGAAGAGAGAAUACGGGACAACUGCAGGACCACAGCUCAGCCAAGACACAACCACAUGACUGAAGACAGAGAUCAUCUGGGUCAGUGUUUCAGAAAAUGUUGCCAAGAAACUUCAAAUGCAGAUUCCUGGACCUCCGUGCAAACUACUAUAUUAGAAGACAUUCGUGACCGGGCGCAGCGGCUCACACCUAUAAUCCCAGCGCUUUGGGAGGCCGAGGCGGGUGGAUCACGAGGUCAAGAAAUUGAGACCAUCCUGGCCAACAUGGUGAAACCCCGUCUCUACUAAAAAUACAAAAGUUAGCUGGGCAUGGUGGUGUGUGCUUGUAGUCCCAGCUACUCGGGAGGCUGAGGCAAGAGAAUUGCUUGAACCCGGGAAGCAGAGGUUGCAGUGAGCCAAGAUCACGCCACUGCACUCCAGCCUGGUGAUGAAGCGAGACUCCAUCUCAAAAAGAAAAAAAACAAAACAAAAACAUUCGUGUGCAUGUGUCUUUAUGGUAGAAUGAUUUUAACCCUUCGAGAAAUCACCAUACUGCUUUCCACAAUGGUUAAACUAACUUACAUUCCCACCAACAAUGUACAAGUGUUUCCUUUCCUCUGUAACCUUGUCAGCAACAGUUACUUUUUGACUUUUUAUCAACAGCCAUUCUGACUUGUGUGAGGUGGUUUUGAUUUGCAUUUCUCUAAUGUCAGUGAUAUUGAGCCUUUUUUCAAUGCUUG
rnacentral:lncRNA from 1 species